rnacentral:rRNA from 1 species
UACGUGGGUCACAAGCGUUAUUCGGUGUUACUGGGCGUAAAGUGUGUGUAGGUGGUCUAUUAAGUUAUAUUUCAAAUCUUCUCGCUUACCGAGAAAAAGGAAUGUAAUACUGGUAGACUUGGAGUUUUCUUUAGGGAAAUCGGAAUUUAUAGAGGAGCAGUGAAAUGCGUUGAUACUAUAAAGAACACCAGUGGCGAAAGCGGAUUUCUGGAAGAUAACUGACACUGAGACACGAAAGCUAGGGGAGCAAACCGG